rnacentral:rRNA from 1 species
CCUACGGGUGGCAGCAGUGAGGAAUAUUGGUCAAUGGGCUUACGCCUGAACCAGCCAAGUCGCGUGAGGGAAGACUGCCCUAUGGGUUGUAAACCUCUUUUGUCAGGGAGCAAUUGGCGCUACGUGUAGCGUUAUCGAGAGUACCUGAAGAAAAAGCAUCGGCUAACUCCGUGCCAGCAGCCGCGGUAAUACGUAUGGUGCAAGCGUUAUCCGGAUUUACUGGGUGUAAAGGGAGCGCAGGCGGCACGGCAAGCCUGAUGUGAAAGCCCGCGGCCCAACCGCGGGACUGCAUUGGGAACUACCGGGCUGGAGUGCCGGAGAGGUAGGCGGAAUUCCUAGUGUAGCGGUGAAAUGCGUAGAUAUUAGGAGGAACACCAGUGGCGAAGGCGGCCUACUGGACGGUGACUGACGCUGAGGCUCGAAAGCGUGGGGAGCAAACAGGAUUAGAUACCCGGGUAGUC